rnacentral:misc_RNA from 1 species
CAACCCUCAAGCUCUGCUUGGUGUUGGGCCGCGCCGGUUCGCCGGCGGGCCUCAAAAUCAGUGGCGGCGCCAUCUGGCUCCACGCGUAGUAGUUUUCUCUCGCGUCCGGACGCCCGGUGGUGGCUAGCCAGCAACCCCCCAUUUUCACA